ensembl:snoRNA
AUUCUUUUGUAUUUCAUAAGGGUCACUGGGUUUUUAGGCUUAUGUGUGAGAUGUGCUUCCCUCAAAAACUGUUAUGACUGUGGCAUGUUACCUGUGUGAUG